AUACGGAGGAUCCGAGCGUUAUCCGGAUUUAUUGGGUUUAAAGGGUGCGCAGGCGGGAGAUUAAGUCGGCGGUGAAAUUUUGCAGCUCAACUGUAAAAGUGCCUUCGAAACUGGUUUCCUUGAGUGUAGAUGAAGUAGGCGGAAUUUGUGGUGUAGCGGUGAAAUGCAUAGAUAUCACGAGGAACUCCGAUUGCGCAGGCAGCUUACUAAACUACUACUGACGCUCAGGCACGAAGGCGUGGGGAUCAAACAGGAUUAGAUACCCUUGUAGUCCACGCAGUAAGCGAUGAUUGCUAGCUGUUUGCGAUACAAUAUAAGCGGCUGAGCGAAAGCGUUAAGUAAUCCACCUGGGGAGUACGUUCGCAAGAAUGAAACUCAAAUGAAUUGACGGGG
rnacentral:rRNA from 1 species